GUCAGUAAAAAUUAAACUACUAAAAAAUUCCAACAAGUUUCUAUAUAAAUAAUAUGAUCUAAAGCAUUUAAAUUUUAAAGAAAAUUUUUUUUGCAUUUUAAUAUAUACGAAAAAGUAAUUAUUACAUAAUAUAUACCCAUAUAUAUUCUCUAUGAAAUUCAGGAUGAAGAAUGAUUCUAAACUGCUGUUACGGUUUCUGAGGUCUAUAAUAUUCAAACUGGAAACAAAAACAUGCUUACAAAAUAUAAAAGUUUAACUGAAAAAGUGUUUUUCAUUUGUAUAAGCAAUACUGCAGAAUAUUAAAAAGUAAUAUUUUUAUGCGUUUUCUAACAGUAAGAUUUUGAAGCGAGAAUCAUUUUCCCUCCAAGUAUGUAACGCUUUCUAUAAUAACAACAAUUCUGGUUUUCAAUUCAUUGAGGGAGGUCACAAGAAUCUUUUAAAGAGUGUUUUUCACAUAUCUGCACAGGAAGAAAUCAGACUAUAUAAUACCGAGUGAGCUCGAGUCCAAGGAAUCGGUACUCCACACCCUAUCUAGUGCAUAAGAAAGUAUAUAUCAAGAAAUUCUAUCAAUAGAACAAUAAUAGCCAAUAUGGCACUCUCUAUCUAACUGGAACGCAAUAGUUGCUUGAUGAUAUUUCAAAUGGAGUAACAUAUAGAGGUGGUAGUAUCUCGAGAUAGGUCAUUGCUGUGACUGUCUUUCUCGCAAAGAAAACCAGCCCGAAAUUCCGAACAUGACAAAACACACCAGGCUUUCAACUUUUGCUUUUCUUUCGAAUAUUUAACAGGAUGAAGAUUUUCUAAUCCCUAUCUUUUGCAGUAAUGACGAUUUAACGCCUUGAUAUGCAAUAUAUUGUGUCAUCACUAAAUCUUCAUCUCCAAAGAUAAUUUUUAUCAGCUUUACCUUUUGACAAUAUGUUUUGGAAAAAUGCAAAUAACAAUGAAAAUUAUCUAGUUGUAAAGCAAACAUUAUCUGCAGUAGGCAGGGAGAGAGUUAAAGAUCCUUAUGAACAAUUUUCCGAAUAAUCACUUGUGACAUACCUAAUUGAAAAAAAUCUCCUUCUGGUUGAUUUGUGUGGGUUUUGAGAAAAUGCUUCCUGAUUUAAUAAACAUUUUCCUGCAAGAUAUUCUGUCUAUUCCCGCUGGAUGGUCGGGUGGUAAAGCAGUCGCUUACUACUUUGCCGCACCAGAUUCAAAUCCAUGUCCUACAUUUCCAAUUUUUCAGGAAAGUUCUGGGCACGGCUGGUUGAAUUCCUCCUUCAACCUUCCGGUUGAUCUUACCAUGAUGUGUUCCAGCCUUCAGUAGGUCAUACAAAAUUGGC
rnacentral:lncRNA from 1 species